rnacentral:ncRNA from 1 species
AUCAAUCUUCGGGGCAGGGUGCAAUUCCCUACCGGCGGUGAUGAGCAUAGUCUCUAAGCCCGCGAGCCUUUUUGGCAGGAUUCGGUGUGAUUCCGAAGCCGACAGUAUAGUCUGGAUGGGAGAAGAUGGAG